UACAGAGGUCUCAAGCGUUUGUUCGGAAUUACUGGGCGUAAAGGGCGCGUAGGCGGUCUGCUAAGUUGGAUGUGAAAACUCUGGGCUUAACCCAGAGCCUGCAUUCAAUACUGACAGGCUAGAGUUCGUGGAGGGGAUAGCGGAAUUCCUGGUGUAGCGGUGAAAUGCGUAGAUAUCAGGAGGAACACCGGUGGCGAAGGCGGCUAUCUGGACAGAGUCUGACGCUGAGGCGCGAAAGCUAGGGGAGCAAACAGG
rnacentral:rRNA from 1 species